AAAUCCAGUCAUCCUGAGGGACCACUGUUGCGAAGGCGCANACUAGACGANCCGACGUCAGGGACGAGCCUAGGGCACGAACCGGAUUAGAUACCCGGGUAGUCCUAGGUGUAAACGCUGUGACNUGUGUUGGGAUUCUCCGAGGAUUCUCAGUGCCGAAGCGAAGGUGAUAAGUCCACUGCCUGGGGAGUACGGUCGCAAGGCUGAAACUUAAAGGAAUUGGCGGGGGAGCACCGCAACCUGAGGAUUGUGCGGUUUAAUUGGAUUCAACGCCGGAAAACUCACCAGUGCCGACGGACAGAUGAAAGCCAGUGUGAUGAGCUUGCUGGAUUGUUCGAGAGGUAGUGCAUGCCGCCGUCAGUUCGUACCGUAAGGCGUUCUGUUAAGUCAGAUAACGAACGAGACCCUCAUCCCUAUUUGCUAAGGUUUCUCCCUUCGGGGCGAGAUCACAGGACUAUAGGGAGACCGCUGGCGAGAAGUCAGAGGAAGGUGAGGGCAACGGUAGGUCAGUAUGCUCCGAAUGCACUGGGCUACACGCGCAAUACAAAGGACGGGACAAUGGGCCGCUGCUCCGAGAGGAAAGAUGGCUAUCCCGAAACCCGUUCGUAGUUCGGAUUGAGGGCUGUAACUCGCCCUCAUGAAGCUGGAUUAGGUAGUAAUCGCGUCUCAAAAAGGCGCGGUGAAUAUGCCCCUGCUCCUUGCACACACCGCC
rnacentral:rRNA from 1 species